CGCACCUGGCCGAGGCGGCUGAUCCGCUGGCGAACCCAGAUGUUGGACGCCAAGCUGCGUGCGCCGCGCCCCCUUCCUUGAAAUCCAGCCCUCGGCGCGUCCUUUCCUUCCGCGCAUGCGCGUGGCCAUUCCCGCGCAGGCGAUAUGGGGGUGGUUCCCUCGCGCAAAACUCAGGCUGGUCUCCCACCGUCUGCGGUGAUGGCUCUUCUGCCCCGGUUUGUCUUCACAGAUCCCAACAUUUCGAUGGAUUUUUGAAAUGUUCACACAGGGGCCUUCACCCUACUCUGACUACACUCACGGUCCCAGUUUCAAGAUCUUACUGGCUUCCCCAGUAUCUUUGAAGUUCUUGGAGAGCUGGCGUGAUGUCCUACUGGCCUGUAUGGGGACAGCAUGGUUGUUUCUCCUCAGGAAGCCUUUAGAGUUAGAACUUGAACUUUAAGAAAUUCUCUUCCUUGGCCAUGGGCCACUACUGUUUAAAGAUGGAGACCACUUAAGGUGAGAAGAAUAGUAUCUGGUCACUUGUCAGAUCUGGCCAAAACAAAGCAGGAGUGAGCUGCUGCUGUUGCAUUCGGUGACAUUUACCCCAGCACUCUUCGGCCAGUCAUCUGAGCCCAAAGGAGCUCCUGCUUUCCUGAGAAGAAACUGGUAGAGGCUGGCAGAGCAAGUGAGAGCUGAUUGGGCAACCAAGUAGUUGUGAAUUUUUUUGAUUCUGGAGAAACAAGAGUGUUUAAACAAUAGCAUCUUAUUGAAGGCGCAACUGUUCAGAAUCUGGGAAGAAUGUUCAGAUGACUGUAUCACAUUGACUACAACACUGGUCAUUUUCUGAUUUGUUCUUCAGAUCUGAAGAAAGAGCCAGAAAUUUGGGGCACAGCCUGUUCCAUUCACCAGCAGGGCUAUUAUGGAAAAUAAUACUUGUAAUGCAAAGUUGGCCUAUCCAAGAUGGUAUUAUUUAGCCCUAUCUGUGGUGGUAUAAUUAUGGCUAAGUUACCUGCAUAAUUUGUUACUGUUUUAUUUUCUCUUUGCUGUUUAUAAAAUAUGUACUAGGUUAUGAUAUUUUGGAUUUAAGGAUGUGCCAAAGGUCAGAAGGAAGCUGUGUUUAGGGAAAUCAUAUCAUUGGCUAACUAUAACAUUCUUUGUGUUUCUCAAUGAUAAUACAAAGUUCCAGUCAUUUUAUUUGGAAGAUGAGAUUUGUAACUCAUUUUCAACCAAUAUUUGUUUUUUUUCCUUAAAAGAUAGUGUUCAGUACCAAUGAGUUCAAAAUCUGAGUUUUGUCUAUAAACACAAUUCUUUCCUUUUCACUGAUGAAUUCAACAAUCAUCUUAGAAACAUCUAAAAAUCAUUGUAAACUUACUAUGUUGUGCAAUAAAUUGGCUCAAUGGACCCAGUAAAUUAUCCCAAAAUAAUUGAACUGAGGUCUUUUAAAAGUAAUGUUUAAUUUUUAAAUUAAUUUUAGAUUUACAGAAAAGUUGCAAAGUACAAAGAGUUCCUGUAUACUCUUCACCCAGUGUCCCCUACUCCUAUCUAAUAUCUCCUAUAACCAAGAUACUUUUGUCAAAACAAAGAAAUUAACGGUGGUUUAGUACUAUUAACUAAGGUACAGAAUUUUUCAAACUUCACAAAUAUCUUUUCAUUGCUUCAGGAUCCAGUCCAGAACCCCAUAUUUAAUCUAAUGAGAUCUCUUUUGGAGGGGUGGUCAAGAGUAGAGGGAAAUGAAUAAGACAAAGUUGUUUUCCAUUCUGUUAAAAACUGAACAAAAUGCACAAGAUUCAGUAGGGCAAAUUACUUUGACCCCAGUUGCCCCUGCUCUGUGGUGCCAUCUGUUUAUCAGCACUUGCCCUACCUUGGCUGCAUAGGUCUUAGUGUCCCAAGCUGUGACGGUGACCUAUGAUGACAUUAAUUGAUUCAAGUACAUGCCUAAAGCUUGGUGUAUGCUCUCAGAGUCCUGAGCCCUUCCGCCCCUUGCACUGACUGGAGUCCUCUCAUUGCUCUGCAGUCCCUUAGCAGCACUGGUUACAGUCAGUGGUUAAUAGCAGAACUAUGUUGUCAGACCUCCUGGAUUGAAACCCUGCCUUUACUUGGUGACCUUAAUCUUCCGGAGUUUCCAUUUUGUCUUUCCCAUUUGCAGAGAGGAAAUAAGAAUUGUGGUAUGAGGUUUAAAUUUUAUAAUCUUCAUGGAUCAUAUAGAAUGUCUGAUACAGGGUAAAUACUUAGUAAAUGUUACCUGUGUUAAAAAGAAAGCCACAGGCUCAACAUGGAUUCACUUCUGCUAGGCCAGGUUGCCAACCAGGCCUUAAUACCUAAACUAACCACAGUUUCAACCUCCCCCAGAAGUGUACUCAAUUAGGAAUUCUGUGGUCAGCAUCAGUAAGAUAAUCAGGGACAUGAUAAGGAUGUUUAUCCUUCCCCUUAAUUCCCUUUGGCACCAGGAUGUAUAUCAAUCCCACCCCCUUUUUUUUAGCAUCAUGUAGCUUACAUAUGUGAGAUGUACCCCUUUGAAGUCCAGUCUUUCCUGCCUGCUUCCUCAAGAUAUAAAACCUUUAUAGGAUUGUAGCCCCUUGGAACUCAACUCCUUGGUUGGUCCUCAGUUUAGCUCAAAUAAAACUGUCUUUAUUUCACUAAAUAAGUCACUCAAGGUGACUUUAGUGAUCUUUUUGUUGAUACCUGUUUUUAUCAGUGGUAAUAAACACUGUGGAUAAGUAUCCCAGUUGGGUGAUGAAGAAGCAAGAAGACAAUGCUAGAGCAGAAUUCACUUAAGGAAAUAAAACUUUUCUUUACUUGCUAGAAUAGAAUUAGAGUUCUAAGGAAGAAUAUUCCAUUGAUAAAAGGAAAGAAAUAAGAAACUUGGAAAUGGAUUUCUAGAAAGCUAAGAAAAUGCAAAUUUUCACUGCCACAAAUCAUGUGGGGGCAAAGAUCAUGUUAAUCCUCUCUGUAUGGGUUCAAUUUUAAUCUGUGGCUAAGUGAGCACAUUUCUCAUCACCAUUUUAAGCUCAGGUCACAUUUAAGCAAUGACUAAAGCGGGAAAAAUGUAGAAGUUAAUUGUAUAAUAAUCACCACAAGUACUGUAAUUAUGCUUCUGAAGAAAAAAGCUUAUUGUAUAAUAACUUUUAUAAUAACAUAACUUGGAGUUUUUAUAGAGUUUUGCAUUUUUCAGACCUCUCACAGUCAUUUUUUCACUUGACCCAGGAGUUAAGGGAGUGUGUAGGAAUUAUGAACCAUAUUUUGCUGAGAGGGAAGCUCAGAGGGAAGAAAGCAUAUCAGAAAAGGCCUCAUAAGGACGGGUAAGAUUCCUCAAGGGAGGAACAACCUAAGACAGGCACAGUCGCAGGGGGCCAUCUGGUGAGAAAAUGGGGAGCAGCAGAGGUGAGGCUUAGAACCUCCCCCCUCAUGUUCUGAGAGAAAUCUUUGGCAUACAUGGAUGUUUAUUGCCCUCAUCUAGCUCGGAUUAACACAUAAUCUACAGGCACACACCUGAUCAUCUACAUUUGCUCUCUUACAACACUAAACUCUGUUUUCUACCUUUAUCUUGUAUCUACCUACCACUUCAGCAUUUUAUUAAAAAUAAUAAUAAUAGAGAAAUUUGGUAUCCACAUAUAAAUCAAGUUUAAAAAUCAAAUGAAUAUUCAUAUUUGAACUGACUGUGUAUAGUUCAUAAUGCAUGAACAAAACCGAAAGCUUCUGUGAUGACUGCCCUUGCACUGUUCACCAUGUAACUUAUUCACUAUGUAAGAAUUUGUACUCCAUGUAAGAAUUUGUUCAUUAUGCAUCAGAAGAUUGGAGACUGACGAAAAUUAGGCUUGGGGUGGAUUAAUGAUUGUGCAUUGAGUAUUGACCCCCCUAUACAGAAAUUUAUUGUGGUUAACAACUAUUUGAUCAAUAAAUAUGAGAGAUGCCCUCAC